rnacentral:rRNA from 1 species
UACGUACCGUCCAAACGUUAUUCGGAAUUACUGGGCUUAAAGGGUACGUAGGCGGCGCUGUUAGUCGGGUGUGAAAUCCCUCGGCUCAACCGAGGAAUUGCGCCCGAUACUGCAGUGCUUGAGGGAGACAGAGGUAAGCGGAACUGAUGGUGGAGCGGUGAAAUGCGUUGAUAUCAUCAGGAACACCAGUGGCGAAAGCGGCUUACUGGGUCUCUACUGACGCUGAGGUGCGAAAGCGUGGGGAGCAAACAGG